rnacentral:lncRNA from 1 species
CCGCGCGGCAACGCAGGGGCGGAACCGCAUGACUGGCAGUGGCAUCAGCGAUGGCGGCUGCGUCGGGGUCGGUUCUGCAGCGCUGUAUCGUGUCGCCGGCAGGGAGGCAUAGCGCCUCUCUGAUCUUCCUGCAUGGCUCAGGUGGAUUUCAAUUUUACGUCCUGGUUUUCUACAGCUCGGGAAACAAUUUAUGACAAACCCACAGCCAGUAUCAUACUGAAUGGACAAAAGCUGUAACCAUUCCCCUUGAAAUCCAGCUCAAGACAAAGAUGCUCUCUCUCACCACUUCUAUUCAAAAGAAAGCAAAUGCAAUAGAUCUAGUAGAAUGAUGAAGUGCUAAACUGACACACUAUUUUAAGACUUCAGGAAUACCAGGAUGAGUAAAACUACAUUUAAAAUUUUAAUCAUCUGUGGGGUUUAGCUAUGAAAAUUUUUUGUUUUCUAAGCUUUCUGCAAUGGAUAUGCACUGCUUUCUUAAUAGAAAAAAUAGUAAACUUUGUUAAGAGAGAGAGAACUCAGCAAAAGGCUCAUUACAGGGGAUGUUCAGUUAAAGGGGGUUCCUUGGAGACAUUCAUGGA